AGUGGGAUUAGGGUUCUUAAGAGGGGCUAAAAAGACCAGAGGUGUCUCAUUCCACCAUAUAUGGACACAAAACCCUUCAACAGACAACAAAUAUGCUUUCAUCUUGAGAUUCCCAGCCCUACUACCUAGGUUCUGAAUCUAAAGGAAAGAAGAUCAACAGGGAAAUUUUUGAGCCAUGUGGAGCCAAAGGACACAGGUUGCAGUCCCUUUUCAAACACAGACCAAAGAAGAGAGAACCCACAAAUGUCCCAGUAUUUGGCCUGACAGGUCUUGGUCUCUUGGACUUCAGUCUCAUUGAUAUGAACAGAAAAGACUUUGAAAGCCUAAAGCCAUUAUAUAUUGAAUCAUA